AGCAGUCGCCGCGGUAAUACGUAGGUCCCGAGCGUUGUCCGGAUUUAUUGGGCGUAAAGCGAGCGCAGGCGGUUAGAAAAGUCUGAAGUGAAAGGCAGUGGCUCAACCAUUGUAGGCUUUGGAAACUGUUUAACUUGAGUGCAGAAGGGGAGAGUGGAAUUCCAUGUGUAGCGGUGAAAUGCGUAGAUAUAUGGAGGAACACCGGUGGCGAAAGCGGCUCUCUGGUCUGUAACUGACGCUGAGGCUCGAAAGCGUGGGGAGCGAACAGGAUUAGAUACCCGUGUAGUCCCUGUCUCUUAUACU
rnacentral:rRNA from 1 species